UUUAUUGAGCCCCCCCCCCACACACACACACACACAGAGACACAGAGAGAGAGGGAGGGAGGAAAAGAAAAGAGGGUUCAGCGCUUUCUCAAGGUGUGUUUUCAGCAAUACCUUCGAGAGUUGUUCAGCAGCAGAACAAAGAUAACGGGGUUUCAGCGCUUUUUCAAGGUGUGUUUCAGCGCUUUUUCAAGAUAACGGGGUUUCAGCGCUUUUUCAAGGUGUGUUUCAGCAAUGGUUUUGGGUGUCGUUCAGCAGCAGAACAAAGAGAGGGUAGUUUAAGCAGAAGAAUGUGGGAGCAGAAAGGAAGAAUUGUCGUGCACUAGGUGACAUAGGAAAUGUGGUUACCGUUGGUGGGUUCGAGGGGAAGCAGCUUCCUCAGGUUUCUCCACCGGUUACAAGGAGUUUUGUGCUCAGUUACUGGCUAAUGAACAGGCUGCAGCAGCUGAAAACAACAAGGCUGCAAAUGCCAAUGGAGCCAUUGUGGUCGGUGGAGCUCUGCCGGAAAAGAGAGCUGCAGCAACCACCAAACCUAAGCCAGAGGAGAUAAUUGAAAUUAGUCCCGAUAUUACAGAAGUUGCAGAGCUCAAGGAGAAGGCCGGAGAGAAGUGGAUGAAGAAGAAAGCUGGCUCUUACUUUGCCUCUCACUGCUAUUCUGCAAGGCUGCAUCCAAAGAUGCAAAUAGUCGUCAUUGAUGCUGCUGACGUGAAUAAUGACUUGGCUGUUGUUGAAUAUGUUGAUGAGAUCUGUCAGUUGAGGAUAAAGUGGUGCAGUUUUCUUUAGGGGUUCUGGUUCACAGAGAGGUUGGUAUAGAGGCCGAAGAGUGAGUCAGACUAGCAGGUCUCCUUCAGUGCUGGUGGGCCUACUUCAGUUGGAUGCGAAGAAAGACUACUCCAGGCAGAUCGUUCAAUGGAAGAUCUAUUGCUUCUUGUGCUAAUUGCUGUAGGCGACACACUGGUGAAUAUUGGGAAGCCUAGUAUGUUAUCAUUGCCAUCAGCUGGGAUAUAUUGUCAGGGACUGUCCCACAUGGAGAGAUAAAUACCAGAGGACCUCAAACUUCAGGUUUGAGCAAAGUGGGGGAAAACUCACAACAAGCAGGUAUGAAUAGAGGGCGAGGUAGAGGUGGUCAAGGUAGCGAAAAUAUUUCCAUGACAUCAACAGGACAAAGUAGUCAACUUCAACCACAAGCUAGGGUGUAUGCAAUCACAAAAGAACAAGCUCCUAUGCCACCCGAGGUUAUCACUGGUUCCUUCUCUAUUUGCGAUUCUAGUGCACAUGUGUUGAUUGAUCCAUAAUCUACUUGUUUAUUUAUAUCACAUAA